rnacentral:tRNA from 1 species
GCCUGGGUGGCUUGGUCGGUUAAGCGUCUGACUUCAGCUCAGGUCAUGAUCUCACGGUCCGUGAGUUCGAGCCCCGCGUCAGGCU